rnacentral:sRNA from 1 species
AGAGGCUAACCGGAUAGCCCGGAAUGUCCUUAGGGACACUGCUCCGCAUAUUAUCUCAGGACAGCAUCAAUAUUUAACCCUCACCAAGGGUCUGGAAGAGAAGUUCUGCUAAAAUAUUUGUCCUUUUCUUAAGUGCCUCCGGGAGCAGACUCUGUGUCACUGACCAUGUCGGCCACUCCAGGGUUCGCCUCCCUGACCCAAGCAGGCUCCAGCAUGACAGAGGCCUUCUAGAAUGGAUUCUAGGCUGCUGAUAACUGUGAAGAGUGAAGGACCCAAACUGGUGCCAUUCUUCAAGGCCACCUGCGUGUAUUUUGUGCUCUGGCUGCCCUCAUCUAGCCCAUCGUGGGUCAGCACCCUCAUCAAGUGCCUGCCCAUCUUCUGCCUCUGGCUCUUCCUUCUGGCUCAUGGCCUGGGAUUCCUGCUGGCCCACCCCAGCGCCACCCGCAUCUUUGUGGGGCUUGUCUUCUCUGCUGUAGGUGACGCCUUCCUCAUCUGGCAGGACCAAGGAUACUUCGUGCAUGGUCUGCUGAUGUUUGCUGUGACCCACAUGUUCUACGCCUCGGCCUUUGGCAUGCGGCCACUGGCUCUUCGGACAGGUCUGGUGAUGGCAGCGCUGUCGGGCCUGUGCUAUGCCCUCCUCUACCCAUGCCUCUCAGGUGCCUUCACCUACCUGGUGG